ACGUAGGUCCCGAGCGUUGUCCGGAUUUAUUGGGCGUAAAGCGAGCGCAGGCGGUUUGAUAAGUCUGAAGUUAAAGGCUGUGGCUCAACCAUAGUUCGCUUUGGAAACUGUCAAACUUGAGUGCAGAAGGGGAGAGUGGAAUUCCAUGUGUAGCGGUGAAAUGCGUAGAUAUAUGGAGGAACACCGGUGGCGAAAGCGGCUCUCUGGUCUGUAACUGACGCUGAGGCUCGAAAGCGUGGGGAGCGAACAG
rnacentral:rRNA from 2 species